AUGCCAUCUCCUUCCUUGAACCCCACUACCACCCGCAGCUUUCUUCUUGGCUUUUCAAAGGUUUAAUCCACUCAGGACCGCUAACGGAGGAAUCGAGGCACCUUCCCUUGCGAACCCACGCAGAGAAAAGGGCAGGAAAAUGCGGUUGAGUCACGUCGCUCCGCCAUUUUCUAAGCGGAGGAGGAAGACAUGUUGGAACAAAAACACAACAAAAGAGCAGCCAUUUCCCAAGCCAGCUCCAACAGCAGCCCGCGCUGGCGGAGCCGGUGCCCUCGGCACCUCCACAUCCACCUCCCGGGGCAAACCCAGCGCAUCAGAGGUGCCGGCGGAGGAAGCCGCCUCCGACCCCGCCGCGCAGGGAUCAGGGCUGACCCGCAGGCCCACGAACCGCAGCGCCUCGGGAAGGACGACGCACGCCAGACGGAGCCGAGUGCAAGCCACGGAAAAGCGACAUUAAGUUGACAAACUGAAAUGUACUCGGUGCUUGUGGCGACGAACGGUUCAAAGGAAACCACUGGCUAAAGGCAACCAGCACUGACAAUACCCAGCAAAAUGAUAUGAGUGGCCAUAGCCUUUUCAAAUGUUAUUUCAUUUUACUCCAUCUUAAGAUUUAAGUUUGUCAGACUUAAGAAGGACAAAGCCUCAGCAAUUGAAGAAUUACCUGUUGGAGGUGCUGUUAUUUUAAAGGUACAAGACAUUCUGUGCUUAUUGAAUCAGCAGCAGCUUUGGUGUAAUGGAAGGAGUCUUCUAAAAUGUGCCAAAAUGCAAUUUCUAAUUCCCGGAUCAGAUGAAUUCACUGAAAAUAUAAUCAAAAGUGAAGGCCUAGGAUGGGCUGGGUGAAGGGGGGAGGGCGUGGGAAAUGGGGACAUCUGUAAUACCAUCUGCAAUUAAAAGGUAUAGGAUAAAAUGUUAGACUUCGAGGGACAUAUCACAUCUAGUUCAAUAAUCAUAUUUUUAAAUGCUUUAGAAUUUCCACAUAUCAAUUAUGCCCUACUUGGACAAAAGUGGCUUGCCCAAGAUCAUACAGAUGCUAUUAGAGGCAAAGAAAGGACUAGAACCCCCAACCUCUAACAGGAAGAAAGAUAAAAAGGAAAGGGUAGAAUGCAAAUUGGGACAGUCAUGCCACAGUGAAUACUUCUAUGUUCAUAGAGAGGUCAAGAUGAAUUGAAAAAAAAUUUUUAAGCCCUAGUGUUUACCUUAGAAAAGGUCACUGUAACCAGAGUAUGUUUUGAGUAAAAUGAUAAGGACAAGCACAAGAAGUAUAGAUGUUGUAAGAAGGAAAAUGAAACACAAGGGCAGCCUGCCAAUUUCUAGAGUUGUUUGUUGCAAAUAAGUAGUAAAAUGGAAUGCCUUAGAAUAUGUCACUGUUUCAGGUGUUAACUGUUACACAGCCUCGUGUAUGAUCGCUUAUCAGAUAAGUUAGUGGAGUGAUAGAAAACAUGAGAACAUCAGAAAUGUCCUUCUGGGUCAGAGUGAUAAUCCAUUCAGCCUGUUUUCCAGUCAUUGACUAUGACAGCAAUUUCUGUGUCCCUUUCUUGUUUCAGUUCCUUCCCCCCUCUGCUGUGAUUCAGAAGGUUUUGUGAAAGUGGACUGCUGUAUUUAUGACAGCAACUUCAAACACAUUUGAGAUAUUCCAUGAACAUUUCUUACUUUUUAUGUUGUCAUUAACCAUAAAUUUAUUUCAGUCAAUUUUAUUUGAACUUAUGCUUUUGACCCAUAAGGCUUCAAGACUCUAAAGAUUAAUAAAUUCCAUGUGAAUGUGACUCAAUGAUCUUUUAAUAACCAUAUAUAUUUAUAUAAUAUUCACUAUUCUUUUCCUUAUAAAAGUGACAAAUAUUCACUUGAAAAUUUUAAGUAAAUCAGAAAAAAGAAAACAAAAAUCUCUUAGAGCCCUAACUGGUUUGGCUCAGUGGAUGGAGCGUCAGCCUUCGGACUGAAGGGUCCCA